rnacentral:rRNA from 1 species
GGCUGUUCGUUUUUAGGAACAGUCUGGCCUGCCCACUGACAAAGUUAAAGGGCCGCGGUAUUUUGACCGUGCGAAGGUAGCAUAAUAAUUAGUCUUUUAAUUGAAGACCGGAAUGAAAGGUCGGACAAAAAGCAACCUGUCUCAACUCGGCAUCUAUAAAUUAACUUUUAAGUGAAAAGGCUUAAAUAUCCUUGUAGGACGACAAGACCCUAUAAAACUUUAUAUACUUUUGUUGCCCUUCAACUUAUUUGUUUAAAGUUUGACAAUAAGAAGUAUAUUUCGUUGGGGCGACGAAAGCAUAAUUUAAAAUAACUGCUUUGAUUUAAAACAUUUCUAAAUGAAUAAAUUGAUCCUUUAUAAAGAUUAUAAGAAAAAGUUACUUUAGGGAUAACAGCGUCAUUUUUUUUAAGAGUCCUUAUCGACAAAAGAGUUUGCGACCUCGAUGUUGAAUUAAAAUAACCUAUUGGUGCAGCAGCCAUAAAGGUAGGUCUGUUCGACCUUUAAAAUUUUACAUGAUUUGAGUUCAAACCGGUGUGAG